GGAGUGCCUUGCCCGGAAGGGAGGGCAAAGGGCUACGUAGUCUGCCUGCCCCACCCCACUGACAAGAGUCCCAGUCACCAGGCCACGCUCUCUGUCCUGGGGCCCUAGAGGGAGCCCAGAAUCCCAAGUGGCUGGAGCACUGGGGGACGCCCAGACAGAGCCCUCGCUGGACCAAGUCCUCCAGGAGCGGGAUGAAGCCAUUGCCAAGAAGCAGGCACUGGAGGCCGAGCUGGACACAUGCAAAGCCAAGUUGCGCGCCGUGGAGGCCCAGCUGCUGGAGGUCCUGGAGGAGAAACUGAGGCUGAGGCAGGAGGUGGAGGCCUGGGAGGAGGACAUGCAGCAGCUGGUGAGGCAGCGGGUCGAGAGUCAGCUGCGGAGAGAGUCCAGGGGCACUCUGGGCACCCCCCUGGGCCCCCGAACUGCGAGGGUCCCCUGGGUCCGGUUCCCCCUGGGUUGGUGGGGACGCUGGCGGUGACAGAGCUCAGCCCGGGACCUUAGCAGCAGUGUCUUUAUUCAUUAAAGCUUGAGGUCUGGCCACCUCCGUACCCU